GACGAACGCUGGCGGCGUGCUUAACACAUGCAAGUCGAACGAAGUGGCGAACGGGUGAGUAACGCGUAAUCAACCUGCCCUUCAGCGGGGGACAACAGUAGGAAACGACUGCUACUACAGCAUACUGAAGGAGGGGAUUGCGGCUGAUUAGCUAGUUGGAGGGGUAACGGCCCACCACGGCGCUGAGCAGUAGCAGGUGUGAGAGGAUGAACGGCCACAUUGGGACUGAGACAAGGCCCAGACUCCGACGGGAGGCAGCAGUGGGGAAUCGUCCGCAAUGGACGAAAGUCUGACGGAGCAACGCCGCGUGAGUGAUGACGGCCUGCGGGUUGUAAAGCUCUGUUAAUCGGGACGCGGUACCGGAAUAGAAAGCCACGGCUAACUACGUGCCAGCAGCCGCGGUAAUAC
rnacentral:rRNA from 1 species